CGGUAUUUUGGCAUAUUUUUUUUGUAACCUAUGUUUUAGUUUGGUGCAAAAUUCAAACGAUUCAUGUGUCGGAUUAUUAAAUUAUGGGUUCAAGUUGCUCAUGUGACAGUAGACUUAAUACACUCUGCACCAGAAUGCGAUGUUCAGCUAGAAACAGAAGAAUGAACAGAUGUUUGUGUAAAAGACCCAAGUGUUUGAGGAUUAGAAGGAGUACUGAGGUGAAGAAAUGUGAAUGUGCAAAUCAUAUGAAUGAUUCAAAUAUUUCAUCAACACACGACUCUCCACGCGUUAACAACUUAUGUCGGUUUACUGUAGACGCUUAUUUUAAUUAAAUAAAUA